UCCAGUAAUCAGUCCACCUCAAGCUGUGAUCUUGUCAGAUUUCAUAAGCAAAACAGCUGGGCCCGGUCAGUGCUUGGAUGGGAAACCUCCAAGGAAAACUAAAGUGCUCCAGGAA
ensembl:rRNA 5S_rRNA 5S ribosomal RNA